rnacentral:misc_RNA from 1 species
GGAUAUCCUCCAUUCUUGGCAUCUGCAAUUUAAAAUGAAAAAUAGAACAAUAUGAUGAUUUAAUCAAAUCAAACGAAAGAUGCAUAGAACAACCUUUUCUUUUGCAUUCACUAGUAGGGUUCGUAAAAAGAAUUAUUUUCAUUGUAAUCCUAAAAAAUAUCAGGAAUAAAAAUGCACCUAAUUCAGAAAUUUUAGUGAAUAAAUAAAAAAUCAUAGGGAAAAAGUAUUUAUGGUUAGCAUUAUUUCAUUUAUUUUCCAUACAAAUUAGAAGGUUAACUCAGGUGGUCAGACCAGAACAAAACAUCACACUAGGUCUCCCAAAUCUAGAAGAACUUGGCACAACUAAUACUCAACUUUUAAUAUUGCACAUUAUACAAAAGUUUGAGCAGACAUUGCAAAGAAAAUGUUAUGACUAAUAAGGAGAAU